GUCCUGGUUUGUGGCCAAAAAAAAAAACAGAAGUCAGCUAUGGUUGUAAUCCUGGACUUGUCUGUGGCACAAAGAGUUAAUGGGACAGUGGUCAGGGUGAGGAACAUUUUUUCUCAGGGCUGGAGAAGCCCAUAUGGCUCAAGAAAAGAUGUUGCAACAUUUAGUAUGGGGCAGCCCUGUCUGGGCGCUGGGGGCUGCCACUCAAAGAGUUAAGCUAGUCUUAUGCCUGGGAAGCCCUCAGGGAAGGAGUGGAGCCUGCAAGGACAGGGACCUCUAUGCCCCAGAACAGUGAGGUGCAGGAGGGGUGAGGUGGGAGGGGGCGAGCUGAAAAGUGUGGCCAAGGAAGCAGAGUGUAGGCCCAACUUUUUUUGCCUUGUUUGACCAGCCUUGGCACUGCCCUCCGACUCUCCAGGGGAAAAGCUGCAGUUCUGCUCUUGCAACACAAGGAGCAGACUGGAGAAUUUAGAUCUGCGUCACAGAGCUCAGAGAGAGAGAGAGAGAGAGAGAGAGAGAGAGAGUGAGCAAGCUCCGUCGAUAGGUCUGCUAGCAACAGCCGUGCUGCAGCAGAGAGAGAGAGAGAAAUCAAGAAACAAGUCAUAGCAACACCGGCACCAGGUUCUGCCAGCUCACUUGCUGAGCGUUCAGAGAUCUGUCGGGGCCAGAGGCCUCUGGGUAGCCUAGGCUAGGAGAUGACACGCAAGGUGGCACGGGCGGUUCCCGCGGGGAGGAGGUGGGGUGGUGGGGGGGGGCAGGGGUGGGAGCAAGAGGUUGCGGGGCAACAGUGGAAGGUUUGACGGGACCAAAUUCUGGAACAUUCGGGACUGCGGCACCUUACGGCGGGACCGAGAUUUGGGUCUGCGCAGGCGACGAUGGGUGGUCCGACGGGCUUCAGGACUUGAUGGCGUAACCCCCUUCUUCCCCCACGUAUGUAUUUACUGGGAUCAGGGACGCUGUCUCUGUGUAUGUGGGUGCUCUGUCUUUCUCACCUUCUUUCUCGAUUUUGGCUAUUUAUUUCUCUGAGGGAGGGUUUUUUCCCACUUUAAUUUCUUUCCCCUAGUGUCAGCUGCUCAAGCCUGACCGGGGUAGAGAAGAGUGAACCAUCCCCUGCUUCCCACCUGACCUCCCAGCCUUUACCCUAUUUCCUUCUAGUGGACAGAUGACUGGUUCUCCAGGUUGUUUGGGUGUCAGCGUCCAUCUGUCUGUCCGUGCAGGUCUUACGUGGAAGGUAGGGGAGUGAGAAGUGCCGAAAAGACAGAGGGACAGUUUUUUCCCAGGGGUUGCCUUAUUGAAAGGUCUGGCCCUGGCAAUCUGAGGCUUGUGGGGAGCCGAGUGGCCAGGGUGGGGUGUGGGCUGGGAGAAGUGGGGUAAAGCUGGUAGGUUUGUCACUGCGUAGUUGGGAAAAGUGGGGAAUGGUGACGCAGUCACUGUUGCAUCUGGUUAGGAGCUCUUGGGGGACAGGUAGUGAGGCUCCUGGGGCCUCUGCGGCCAGCUGAGAGGGGUUAAGGAUGAGCUGAGAAGGGAAGCUAGCAUUUAGAGAUUAAAUGUCAUCCUUUUGGCGUUGGAAAGUUGUUUACCUUGCGCUCUCUGUGUCUCCAUGUUGGCUCCCUUCCAGUUCACAUGUGAUGGCCUUCCCUGUACUGCUGCAUCAUUAACUAAGUGACUGAGCUGGCCUUCCAUUGGCCAGGGGAGGGCUCUCCCUCCAGACACUUCCUCUGAUUGGUGGCUGGGCCAAUGGCAGGUGAAAAGCUUUUUGUGAUUGGCUCAGGGCAGGGUAUCAACUCUGAAUUUGCAUUUCACUUGCUUAAAGGGGAGGGGGGAGAAGCCCAGCAGCUUUCUAAAAUCUCUUUAGGGGUGUGCGUAGGCUCCUGUGUCUAUGCCUGCUUUUGACUGCCCAGUUGAAGCCUCUUCCUAUGCCUUUUAAAAUUUCAUGCACUAUAAGGAAGAAGAGCUCAGGGCUCUCAAAACUUUAUUUAGAGGGAAGAAUGCUAGGGAGAUGGGUGUGCAGAGGGUUGACCAAAUUGGAAGAAAAUAUUUAUCCUGUAGUUUGGUGUUGAAAAAGGAAAUUUUCCAAUCAGCCACACCUCAGUGUUGCGGCAAAAUAAUUCUCGGCUCCCCUGGAAACGCAUGGGCAAGGUAGGGCAGAGCUGCUGCUGCUGAUAUUACCACCACCCUGGGCUUCCUGCUGACUCUGGGCUACUCCCUGGGGACAAGAGAUUUGCAUUGACGUCCGGGGCUGUCCAGAGGCCCAUAGGAGCCAGUUGUGAGCUGAGCCCAGUAUGGGAAAGAUCUACCUUCUGGAAGCUACUACUACUUGGUGCUUGGAAAGGUGAGGAUGGGGGACUGACCCCAGGAAAUUGCUUGGAAACUGCGUAUUUGGUGGGAUUUCCAGAAAAGUCAGUGGGAGAUGGGUGGUUUGGAUGCCCCGGGCUAGAAAGGUUUGUCAGUGUAGGGAAUGAGGAGAGUCAGAGUAAAACUAGGGCAGCAGGCUGUUCACCUUUGGUUGGGGGAGGGAGGCCUCGAAAAAUCAGGGUCCCUGCUCUCUAACCUGUCCUUGUUGCAGGUCUCAUGUUUGUGGGGAGGGGGUUUACCAAGCGCUGCGCCAUGCGCAGUGGCCCCCACCCAUGACUGCGCAUCUGGGAGCGCAGUGCGCCCUGGGUCUCUGGCCUAGGACGAGCACCGCCCUUCUUAUUACAUAACUUGAGGGCAUGGCACGCGCCUUCUCGGCCCUUCCUUGCAACCCUACCUUCUCACUCCCCAGGGCCCACAAAGCUGGGGAGGGUCUGACUGGGGAGCGGUGGAGGAUUGCAAUCCCUGGGAGGGCUAACUCAUGUCCAGUUAGUGUGAGGAGCUAAGUUUGAGGACAGAAGUGGUUUUCUAGCCCCAUCUUGGUGAAGGGGCUGCAGAACAUCCUCUUCUGAGUACCCCAUAUACCACCUCUGGGCCCUAGGGCCUCUCUGGUGGAGAGGGUGGCACCCUUCUUUCACUCAUGUCCCAUCUGAUUUUUGAGAGGAUGUUUCUGAAGGAAAAGAUGUGAUGAUUAUGGGAGGGCUUGGUUGGGAGGCAGUUUUGACAGUUUACGCCCCUUGUCACUGGCUUCCCCUCCUUUUCCUGAGUGCGUUUAUCAUCUUUCUGGACUCCUCUGAUGAGCUGCCAUUUUGGAGCCAUUUCUGCUGGUCUCCGACAUGGUGGCGUUGGUUUUUCUGUCCUGCUGUGCCAGUUCCGCAGAGUGGGCGGGGGGCGGGGGCUAUGACGGAGGAGGGGAAGGGGGGGCAAAAGCACAGCAGAGGCGGGCGCAGUGGUGGCUGCCGCAGUGAAGGUGGCUCCAGGGGCAGAGCCGCCCAGUCCCACUCUUGGACACAGUCCUGGGUGGGGAUUCAGGUGGAAGGUGUCUGGGUAGGGGCUCACUAUUUGGGCCCGGCUUUGCCAGAAUGUGGGUUUCCCACGUCCACAUCAGCCUGAGGCUUUGAGUAGUUAGGAAAAGCUGAGUGUCUGGGUGAGAGUGGAGGCAGAGGCUCGGCAGCUCAUCUCAGACGUGUCAGACCCGUGGUUUGUGUUCCCCAAAUAGGCUCUGUCUCCAGCAGCCUCCCCGUGGGGACAGGGAAGUAAGGUCCAUGGCAGCAUUGAGGAUCUGUUCAGAUGGUCCUGCCUGCUUACUGUUUUUCUUCUCUGUUUCUCCUCCAUGCCUCCUGCCAGUGCCAUGGUUCCAGCUGUAGUCCUCUUGUGAGGCUCCUGCCCAUUCCCCCUCUCUCCAGGCCCUCCUGCGUGCAGCGGCCAUCUUGUCUUUCUUGCUCAGAAAGUUAAAAUGGUUUCUCAUCAUUCCCAGAGUAAAAUUCCUUUCCUUUAGCGUGAUGUUCAAUGCUAUCCGUAACUGGCCUUAGCUUUCCUGUACAGUCUUACCUCUCUCAGUUUCUCUUGGUGGACCACAGUUUCCAACAAAACCAAGCAACUUCCUUUUUCUUGCUUUUCCUAUGUGUUUUCACCAAUGAUGUUUUCCACGCCUCCUCUCCUCUUCGUCCACCUGUGGCAGUCUCACUUUCUCCAUGGACCUCUCCUGAUUGCCUUUGCAAGCAGCAGUUCUCAUAACCACCCCCGCCCAUUCGGCCGAACUUGCACACGGUCUGUCCCUUUUUAUGGUAUUCUUGUUUUGUUAUGAUUCUUUGUGUAUAAGUCUUAUGUCACCUAUUAGAUUAGGAGCUCUAGGAGGGAGGCUAGAGAAAGGAGAGGGAAAACAAAUACCUAUUUGGUACCUUCUGUUUGACAGAUACCAUGUUAGACACUUUUCCUGCAGUUAUUUCAUUUAUUCCUUUCCAUAGCCCUGUGCGGAGCAUCCCUGGUCUUCCAACGUCUUUACAUUUUUCUUCCCCGAACUCUUUACAAGAUGCCUGUUAUGAAGUAGAUCCCCAAAAUUUGUCUAUUUAAGGAAUUUUGUAAGUCCCUAAUGCUCUGUGGGAGUUUGGGUGGUCAAUCUUGUGUCCAUGGUCUAGGUCACCUAGCUGUUCCUUGACACUGUCAUUAACUUUCUCCUCUUCCUUUGUGGUCAGGUUCACUCAAGAUGAUGGGGUUUUCUGUUUGUUUGUUUUUUGUUUUUUUGUAGCUGAAAUUGAUGGGUUAACUGACUCAGUUUUCCUGGUUGCCUUCCUCCUACAAGAAGGUGGAGUGGGGUACAGCAACUUCAAAGCCAGAAUAAGCUCCAGAAUUAGAGAGCAGGGAGCAGAGACACUGGACUUGGAUAGACCUAGGUUUUCAUUGUGAUCCUGCCUCUUCUUAGCUGGGUCACUUUAGACAGGUCAUAUGAUUUCUCUAAGUUUUCGUGUCCUCGGUCAGUGAGUUGGAGCCAGUACAAUUGUUAUACAGAAAUGCCUAAUAUAUGGGCAGCAAAUAGGUUCCCAUCCCUGCCUAGUGGUUUAUCAGGGACUUCAAAGGGGAGUGUAGGGGGGCUAGACAAGAAAUGGGGGAGAUGGGAGCUCCUGUGCCCUAAGUGGUGUCACAGAAAGGGCAGGGAGGAGGUAACUUAAGCAUUACGCACCUCCACCCUGCAAGGCGGUGCUGUCUCCCACCUGGCGUAAAUACCCCUUUACUUCUGCAUCGGGAACAUGCUGUGGGCACAGAGUUGUGGGGGUUGGUGUCGGCAGAGGGAGGGUCAGUGAGCCUUCCUGGGAGUCUUCUCGUGGCAGGUUAGUUUCCCUUCUUUCCGAAUCUCAGCAGUGGCUGCCUGCUUCCUGAUGCUGCUGAGUCCCGUGGGAGGGGAGUUGGGCACCCUGAAGCCCCUCGUCACCAAUUCGGGGGCCGCGGAGCAGAGUGACGACAGCCAGUGAGUCGUCAGUCGACGGCAAUGGGGACCCUGGUGACGGCUGCUUUGUUGUUUUUUUUCCUCUUUGGAAGAUGACUCAGUGUAUCGGGAGCCGGGAGAUGGAGCUCUCAGCAGAGUGGCCAGGAUGUUCUGUCAACAUGAAAGCUGCAAAAACAGCUUGGGGCUCUGGGCUGAUCCUUAGCCUGGGGUCAUUUUCAGGGAGGACUGGACAGCGAAGGCACCCGCUGCCCGGGCAGCAGGAUGGGGCGACACCAGGUAACUCAGCAGGGCUCUGUGAACUCUUGCAUUUAGAGUCUGAAAAGAAAAUAACAGCUGUGUGUGUUGUUAGAUCUGAGUUUGGCAAAUAGGGUCAUUUUUUGAGUUCUUCCACUUAGUCCCCGAAGACAGACGUCUCUCAAAGCCCUUUGGGAUUUCUUCUGUGGUUGUUUGUGACAGUCUUGGUGGUCACUGCCUCGAAUGAAGGGCGAUUCGCCUCUUAGGGUGGGGGCUGGCCAGAACGACCUCAGCGAACGCGGGCGCGCCUGGACCCCGGGAGAAGUGGCCGUGGUGGGGCUGUGGCGUCUUCAGCGUCCUCUGCCGCGCGGCCCUUCAAGAUGGCGGAACCGCAUCACCGUCAAUGCGCCAAAGGCCGGCUCUUGGGCAGCCUGCGUCAGCCUCCCCUUUCCUUAUUGACCCAAAUCAGAGCUUCUCUUCUCCCCUUCAUCUUCCUCAUUGUCCUCUUAGGUGAAACAGUGGGCCUUGAGUACUUGACCCUUUUAAUUUUGUUGUCGUCAUCAUGGCGGCUGCGGGUUCCAGACUUUUCUCGAUACCGCAGCCAUGCGCCAUAGGCGCGUGAUCCCCCCGCCCCGCCCAGCCCCGCCCUGCCCCGCCCUUUUGCGACCGAGAAAGAAGAUGCGCUUCCACCGCCGAGGAAUCCCGGCCAAACCGUCCUUCCCUUUCUUUACCUCCUCAGCCAGAGUGUGGGGCAGAGGGGCAGCCAGUCGCGUAUAGGGAUGAGGGACAACCUGGCCGAAGCCCCCUCCCUCCUUUCGCCGGGUACUAUUUUUCAGUCUCAUGCUUUCCCGCUGAUGAUGCUAGCAGUGACAUUUGUCACUGAGCACCUCCUCUUCUCUCCAAGGACCUCCCAGGGUGACUCAUUUGGGAUCUCUGGUAGGAGUGGCUCCUGGGCCUUGGGAGCCAGAGCAGGACAGGGAGAUGUGACCAGGUCACAUGAGAGUUUAAGCAGGACAGGGGAUGGGAGCCAGUCGUCCCCACCCAGAGCGCAAAGGCAGAGACGGCUCCUUCGUGUCAUGUUUUGCACCCGAGUAGAGAGCAGCUUGACCUAAAAAGAUUGUAUGUAUUUGGACAUUGGAACCUUUCGUGUCUCAUUUUUUUUUUUUUUUUUUUUUGUCCGAAGCUGUGUAUAUGACAAGAGCCUGGAUUUUGGGCUUCAGGCAGCUCUGUGGUCUCUCAGGAUCGUUUUCUGAAAGAGGUGGUAGACAGGCCCUCCUUCAUCAGACCCUGUACCCUCUAUUACUGCCCUUUCUCCAGGACAUAGGACCCAUGUCAUUUUGCCCAGCAUUGUCUUGUUUCUGUCAUUGGGUGGUGGACAACACCUGAGGGUCAUCAUCCCACAGCCACGUACUAACCUUAGAUGGGACCCUGCCUGGGAUCUGCUCAAUUCAUUGCAUGGUUGGCUCUGUGAGCUGAGCCCACCUGUCUUCCUUUCUCUCUUCUUCCUCACAGAGGACUCAGGAGAAUGCAGCUUGCUUUGUGAGUGGGUGACAACCUCUUGGCGACUCAGGCUCAGCUGAGGAUGGUGCCAGUGUGCCGGAGACAGCCGUCAUACUGCCGGAUAGAGUGGCUCACUUGCAUGUAUUUGGAACAAAAAAAGGAGAUGCCUGGCAGCCCCACACUCUGCAGUGCUGUUGAGCCACCAAUUUUUAUGAUUUUGUGACCACAAGUGUGUUGAGUGUUGUGACAUGACCCCAGUCUUGUCAGUGAAUCAUCACCAAGUUGCUUAUUGGAAACCAGAUGCAGCAAGCAAAUAGGAUUUAACCACUCCACUACCUGCCUCCCAGGUAAGUCCAGCAUGGGCUGCUCCCUCUAGCCUUCCCCCAGCCUCAUUCCUUCCCAUGAACACCAUUUUUCUUAUUCCGUGGGGGAACCUCAGACAACUCCAUUCAGAAUCUCCCAAACAAUUGUUCUCUUUUUUGCAUUCUCCUGCUUCUGGCUUUUCUGUGAAUGGGGUUAGUAAUGAGCACAGGACUGGGGGCAGGAUGGGCAGCUGAAGUGGUCGGGCUGUGCGGAUGUGUGGGAGAUGGCUGGGAGCAUUGCUAGGUGUGGCAGUUGGCAGAGCAUUUGGGCCUCCCACAGUAAGUGAAUAGAAGCUCUCCUUAGCUCCAGCAUCCAGCAGGAGGUUCUGGAUUUAACCCCUCGGUAAUCCUGGGAGCCUUCCUGGGGCCUGGAGAUUCUCUUCCCUGUGUAGUCUCAGUGGAUGGCCUGUCUCACUCCAGAUACAUUUUGCCUUGAUCGGGCUUAGUCUAGGUUGGUGGUCUGGAGUUUGAACUGGGCUAAGCAGUGAGCUUUAGGUCUCUUUCCCUACUUUGGGGGCUUCUUUCAAUGAGCCACUUUCUGCCUCUAGGACUUCAUUACCUUUGCCUUAAAAAACAAAAUCCCUGAUCCAGUAAGCCAUUGCAAAGCAUUUCUAGACAGUUGACAAAUGCUUUUUGUCUGCCUCACUUGUUGCUGGUCACAAUAAUAGCAAUGGUGAUUAAAAAUGAAAAACGAUGAUGGCCUGCAGAAUGGGGGAGGUCAGUUGCAUCAUUGAUACAAUUCACAAAGCAGACUCCUGGUGCCUGCCCAUCACCAGGAAGUCUCUCUCCUACUGAGUAGAUGACUACAGUGUUCUCGGCCAGUAGAGCCAGCUGGAACUAGCCAACAGCAGAUUGGUCUGAGCUCUAAAGAGAAAAAGAAUGAUGUUGGGUAAUUUUCGGAGGCACCUAUGGGAUCCUACCUCUGGCCACACAGUGGUCACCUCUCUCUGCUCAUAUGUCACAGUCGGGGUGGAGGUUUCUCUUCCCCAUGCUACUCCCGUCGCUAUCCAGGGAAGACUGGCCAAUUCUGCUUCCUGUUAUUUUUAUCUUCUUCUCUAUCCAUUUGAGAUGAGUCUCUAGGUUGGCUGUGAGCAGCCUGAGGGAUCCAGGGCUAUUUGGAAGAGUCUGAUGUCUCUUCCUUUAAGGGCUCUGACAGGUCUCAGCCCUCCAGCAGUACUGCAGUGAGGGAUGGCAGUGGGUGUUAGAAUGGAGAGAUAUCAACUUGGGUGCAGCUGGGGAGACUUAAGAGGAGUGAGCCAAGGCCCUCAAGGAGUAUUGGCUAGAGUCUGGCCAGUGCUGGCUGUAGGGCCGGAGCCAUAUGUAGUUGCUGGCUGUGCUUGGGAGUCUCAGCCCUCACAUGUGCAGUGCGUCCCUGGGCAUAGCUCUUGGUGACCCCCACUCCCAUGAAUAGCCCUGUCCUUGGUUAGAUUGGGAAAACCAGGGUGGGAAGUAAAGGGGAGGUUGGUUUUGCUCCUGGCCAUGCAGUUGUCUCUGUGGCCUCUGAUGUUUCCAGAAUUGGGAUUGGUGUUUCCCUGCUGAUUUUCCUAUUUUUGUCCCUCAUCUGGUUCUGUUCUCCUUGCUCACCAGCCUGGGUUCUAUAGACACGACGUGGGGUAUUGUGUGUUGCCAAUGAGGCUAGCAGAACAGUUGGUGUCCCCUCAGAGAGGGGCCAACGUAUCUGGCACUUUUUUCCUUACCUUUGAAUUUCUGAGGUCUGGGAGCCAGGAGGCAGCGUGGGGCCUCUCCAUCCCGGAUCCAGCAGAGGUUAACAGAGCUGGUGGCUCUGGAGCCGAGGUGGUGUGGCUUGGCUGGGAGUUGUGGGGGAGAGGCCCUGCCAGGGGCCCUGAUUGGUCAGCACCUUCUCUAUUCCAUUGAAUCCUGGUCCGAUCAGUGCUGUGAAUUGUUUAAUGCAUAUCUUGGCACUGUCCCCUGGCUUGAGUGUCCCUGAGGUUGCAGCCACAGCUUUAAAGAGGAUCUGUACCUUGUGCUGGUCACUUUUUUGGGCAUGUUGCCUCCCUCUGAGAUAUGUAAGAGAUACCGCCCUUUCCCACCAGCCGGCUGUCUGUGGGAGGCCCUCAUUUUGCUUUGCUUUUCUGAGACUUGGAGUGACUGUGAGGGAAGCAUAGACUGAGUUUGCUUUCUUACUGGCUCCUUCCACAAGAGCUUCUCAUGGGCUGAUAAAGCCAGAGAACAUCUCCAGUGCCCCAUGGCCUAUGCAGAGCCCAGUGCCAUAGUGUCAAGCCCGUGGGGGUGGAGUGGGGACAUGGGGGCAGAUAGAGCCACGUGGGGAGGAGAUAUACGUGGUUAGCUCACAGGAGCGAGCCCAAGAGGGUGUGGGAGGACAAGUCCAGUGCUCAGCCGGGACUGCCUGUCGUGGCCCAGGAUGGAUGUGUGCAUCUCCUGUGAAGGAUCUGCAUCUGAGUGCCAGGUGCUGAAGGCAGGAUGGUGCCCUGAUCAGAGUCUGUAAUGAGGCCUGAAGGUAUGAGAUGGACAUCAGAGUUGUUGGUCCCUAACGGGAAACUGACCUUUUUUAAGGGCCCUCCUAUCCUUAUCUGAUCUCAUCCUCAGAACAAUCAUAUGACGUAGGAGUCACUUCCCUUUUAUGGUUAAAGAAACUGAUUAUUAAGUGACUUAACCCAAGGUUAUGCAUUUGGUAAGUGAGGUUGUUGAGAUUUAAAUCCAUGUACUACUUAUUCCAAAGCCUCUACUUUCUCUUUACUCUUUUGGGCUGAAGUCAGACAUUUUUUGUGAACUAAAAUCUUCAGAGGACUGAUGUGAACCAGAGUGAAAGGCAGACACCCAGAGGAACUUGCCAGUCACUGGGGAUGGUUGUGCCGCAUUUCUUUUGGGGUAGGCAGGGCAGAUGCAAAUGUCCUUUGGUAGCCAUGGACUGGCAGAGCUGAGCAAGGCCAGUACAUGGCAUCUGCUGCUGUGUACGGAGCCUCUGCUUUAUGCCAGGGACUGUGCUAGGUGAUAGAGAUGCAGAACUCAACAAAGCCAAGUUUCCACUGUCGUGGGGCAUACGUUCUAGUGUGAGGAGACACUAUUAAUAGUGAUUUUUAAAAAGAAUUCAGAAAUGUACAGGAUAGACAUAUAUGGAGAUUGGGAAUGAAAAGGGGGACUCCCCCCACACGCAUGAGGAGGAGGGUCCAGAUGAUGGUCAGAGGGAUCUAGAGAUUCGGGACUUCAGCCACCUGAAGCCACAUCAGUUAUGCUUUCCUCCAGAGAGUUAGGACUAACACAGACUAACCCUCUCUUUUUUCCUAAUAACUAGGGAAAUGUGUCCAGGGUCCCCAUAAUAGCUUACAGGAGCUUGUCGUGAGUUAGGAAUCAAGGUGGAGUACCUGUCAAACCUUUGGUCUCCAGCAGUCUGGUUUUCUCCCGUCUGCCACGGUUGCCCUUGGCCUUCUGCCUCACGCCCUCCCGCCUCAUGCCGUCCCAGGCACCAGCUGAUUUCUUUCCUCAGCCUGGUCCCUGUACCCUAUUCUUGUCCAUGCAGCACAGGGAAAUGUGCAGGUUAGGUCUUUGCCAAGCCACUGGUCAAACGUUCCUGCAGGUGGUUCUGAGCUUAGCCUGUCCUGUCAGAAUGAGCCAUUCCCAGAGCUAAUGGUCAUGCAAUAGGGAAGGGUUGGGCAGCAGGCAGAGAAGUGGCCUGUGCCGGAUGCUUGGUUGAGCUCUGUGUCUUGAGAGGUGGAGGCAGGUUGGUGGUGCUGGGACAGGGCAGGCAUGUGUCAUGUGUUCAGCGCAUGGGCUCCAGGGCUCGGGACUUGUUUACUUGGUGGAAGAGGCGGUGGCCCUGUGGAGUCAGGCCAUGUGAUUCUUCGCUCCUUGGCUGAUCGUGGACAGCUGACCCACCGGGACUGCCCACACUGCCAUCUGCUGCCAGGGGUCUGAAGUUGCACAGGAAUGAGAUAGUAUAGUUAGGGGUGCUCAGAGAGGAGGAAGGUCAGGAAAAGUGGGGUUUAUGUUGCUCUGUGUUAAGGAGUCAGUAGACCUCGAUUCUUGUCCUAGCUCACUUUCCUCCUUUGAGCUCCAGUUUCAUUAUCUAUGAAAUGAGGCAGUGGAACCAGAAUCUCUUUGGAGGUUCCAGCUAUAUCCUGGGGCCUCCCUGGAUGUUCAUGGAAAUGUUUCUUAGCCAACAAUUCAGGAUGAGGAAAACUAGGCCCAGGUUUCCACAAGAGAAGGCAGGGGAUCUUGAUGACCUAUCUCAGAGCAGCUGAAGAGGCACUGUGGGAAUUAGCAUGGGUAGGUGGGUGGAAGAAGGUAGUUUUUGAAGAAUCUCCCAGAAGUGGAAGCAGAGAGCUGGAGGUUUCACGAAGGUGUUGAUGAAGAUCCACCAGGUGGCAAGGGACAUGGCUGCGGGCUUUCCCUGGGAGGCUUGUUGGGGAUGGGGCAUGUGGGAGCUGCUGGGGCCUCUUGCCGUCCUGCAGGGAGCUAACCCAAGAGACCCUGCUCUAGAAAAGAAGCUCCGUCCCGUCUGGCUCUAACCCUGGAGAGAAUGCUGCUGUGCAGAUUGAGGAAGGGCAUCUGUUAGAGGGUCUGUGCCCCCUGCUGUCAGGAAGUUUUCCUUUAUAUUUAGCCUUUUCUUUUCACGUGUUUUUUGAGGCCCUCAACUAAAGUAUUAAAUUUUAAAAAUGACAAUGACAAAAAAAGAAAAAAAACAAAAAUAUCUCAGUCACUGGUUCCAUUUUGGCUUUUUAGUCUUGAGUCACUCUUAAAAAGAUAGCAAAAUAAAACACAUGUGGGAAAGCCCAAGGUCCCAGGCCCGGCCAGACUGGGGCUAGGAGUGGGUGGGACUCUGUCCUAGCUUCCCCAUGGCAGUGUUAGUUCCAGACGUCCACCACUGCUCCAAGGCUGUGUGGGUAGGAGCCCCUAGGGCUGAGGGGGCACACUGUGCAAUCUGCUAAGCAGAAUAUAGAGUUUUAAAAUAGCUGCAUUUCUCUAAGACACUAUCUGCUUGCCACUUUGUGGGAUGUUUACCUGGGAUUAAUAAUAGCUGAGUGCCACCCCACUGCCAGUAUGGAAUAGCAAACAGCCAUCUGGGCUGGGACUCAGGCAGGAGAGGAAUGGAGUCAUAACCAUCAUAUCACGUACUUCUUUUCACACUUGCUGGCUCAUUUGGUCCUCAUACAACCCCGAGAGGUUAGGUGGUCUUAUCCUUGUCGUUGGUGAAACUGAGCCAGAGAAUCGGUUCUGCCAAGAUCUAACUGCUUGCAGCUGUUUCUCGUGGAUCUCCCACCCAGGUCUUCUGACUUCAGCUGUCAUUUCCCUGGGUUCUGAUUAGUGGAGCAGGGAUAGGAAUAGGGGAAUGGAGUCUUCAGCAGUUUCCUUAAUUUCUGAAGGCCUUAGAGGGCCUUUCUAUAUGUUGACAGGGAAACGAAAUAUCAGCAUGUCCAGGUCUCCAACUCUUUGAUUCUUUAGACUUUUUGGAGUUCUUGUGAGAACUGGCUUGCACUUCUUGGCUGGGAAGCCAGCCACUCACCAUGUAUUCUUGGAGAGGCUUCCUGAAUUUGGAAGCUUCUGGAAUAUGUGAUGCAUCAAACCACUGUGACAUAUCUGUAUGGCACCUCACGCCUGUGCACACAGGCAUGCUUCUGCUGAGUCCAGCUCACUUAGAGAUGAGGCCCAGUGUGGGGUCUUUGAGAUUUUUCCAACACAUUUGUAAGGGAUGCCCUGAGCCUUGCCCAGCAUGCAUGUUGUGUGUAUGCUACCUGUUUGUUGACUAAUGUACAGUACCUGCUGGAAGCCUUGGCUAAUGUACAAUGUAAAGUAAGGGACUAGAAACAGUGGCUUCAGCUCUGAGAGUCUGCCUCAUGAUUGGCUUGAAAAAGCAUGGCUUACCCACAGAGAGAAAGGUGGGUAAGCCCUACUGACUCAUGGGUGUCAGUUUUCCUUAAAGGCAGAGCAUAACUCCCACUCUUUAUAAGGGCUGCUGAGGCAGAGUACUAGACAGCAGGACUUCUUGGCCAGUUAGCCCUCUGAGUGACCUUUAUUUGAAUAGACCCAGAACUCGUAUGAAGGUGGAAAUAAUGGUUUAUCUUUAUUUACAGCUAAUUUAGCCACGAUGGUUUAGGCUUUUUUGGGGGGUAUUCCUUUAGGACGAUGGAGGCUGGACAAGGGCAGUGUACAUGUGUGUGUCUGAAUGUCUGUCCUUUUGUAUUUCCUGAAUGCAUUUUUGGUUCCUAUAGAAGUGUUGGGGAAUCCACAGCAGAAUUGUUUUAGUGAGUGAAGGUUUCUGUAGCUUCAUGUGUGAAGAUUUGUCAUGUUGGACCCAGUUCAUUCAGUUCACCUGAAGGAUGGAAAAGAGAAUGGGCAUAACUUACAGCAAGGAGGGUGAUUUGGGCUGGACUUCUGGGAGAACUGUGCAUCACUUCUGCUGAGGGUUCCUGAGGAAACAUGAAGCCUCUUUAUUUGAGGUAGGAGACUAGCUGUGUGCUCCACAGGAUCCUCCCAGUCCUGAGUCCGUGGCACUUCGAGAUGGUCCCUGGAUCAGCAUGAGGUGUGGGUGCCAGGAUCUACAGCAGGCAUCUCUCUCCAUUUUUGCCUUCCGCCUUCAAGGCAAGCCCAAGCUGGGUGGAAUUGAGGAGAUGCAUGGGCAGGCUGCACCAAUAUGGUCACUGAAUCUGGAACUUUGACCUCGUUUCCCUUUGCAGAGAGAACUUCUGGUACCGAUCUUAUAGGAACUGGUAUUAUUUGCAUAUAAAAAAAGAGAAAGGCACGUUGUCCCUCAUCUUUUCCAGCAAAGAGCCCUGAGCUGCUCUAAUCCUAUAGUAGAGAGGGAAGAGGGAAGUGUAGAGGACACAGGGCCAGACAUGGUUUGCCGGGAAGAAGGUAGGAGGUGGGAGAGGAACAUCUCAGGGCAGGCCCUCAACUCUGGGAGCCACAGGCAUUGCCUGCUAUACUAAAGGCACAGGGAUGUGUUCAAUUGGGCAUACUAUUUAGAGGUAAUCCAGAGUCUGAAAUAAAUCAGUUAAUGGCUAAAUGAGAGUUGUAUUAAAUAUGGAAAAUCAUAUAUUCUUUUGUGUCAUCACCUACAGAUUUAGCAUCAAAAGGCCUGACAGGCUGAGGGCAGUGAAAUGGGUCCUGUCCAUAAGAUGAUGCUUAUUUGUAGUGACUUUUUUCUCUUUUCGUUUCUAUUUUCCACUCUUUCUUAUUGCUUAGGUCUACGUGAAUAUUUAUGCAGUUGUGUUGUUAUUUCCUUGGGGUACCAUUCUUCUAGUGUCAUUGGCAUCAAUGAAUGUGUGACUUUGAUUUCAAGUGUAAACAAACCACUGGCUCACGCAGGGAUGAGCCAUCUCUAAGACAGGGGCCCCGGCAGCUGCCUGGAGACGCACUUCCCCCAUAGACCUGGACUGUUUCUCAGCCAGAUGCCUGAGAUGAGAGUCUAGGAUGUCCUUGCAGGGACCUGCUCAACCCCACAUCAUGUGUCCUGCUGGGAGGGGUGGUGCUCACACAUGCAUCUUCCAACCUUAUUAGCUGGUACUGCUUUUCAGCUUGACCCAAGGAGUGGUGUUGGAAGUGUGAGACUGUUCAUCCCCUGCUAGGUAAGAAGGGUGUCAGAGAGGAGAGGCGUCGACAGAGAAGAAGGGAACACAGGCUUCUGCCUGCUAGCCUGUCUCCAAGACAGGUUAACUUUGUGUUAAGAAGCAAACUCUUUUAAUCUUUUGGCCCUAAUAGAAGUUAUUUGUAUUUUCUCUCCUUCUCUCUUUUCCCUCCUCUCUCUCACUCCCUCUCCCUCAACUCCCCAGCCUCCAAAGAAUUUAAUCUGCUGGACAACAAACAAUACUGUUAUAAAACUUUGAAAACAAGAGGGCGCGGCCUCCCUGACAAGGAGAAGGGCAUGCCGGGUAAUGGCCUGAGGGAGCAUGCCAGGCCUGAGAUGGAGCCGGGCGAGAGCCCAGUUGGCUGGGUACCUGGGUGCCUGCCCCUGCAUAGCCCACUAGCCGCGCCAUCCCCAGGCCAGAGGGGAAGGAACUGAAACAAAAGCGAGGGCAGAGAAGAGCUUGAAAGGGGAAGUUGUACGUGUUCCCUUCUCUGUGAUCUGAUGGGAAUGCAGUAGACUGUGAAACUUCCUCCUCCACCUCUUCUCCCUCGCCCCUCCCAUCCUCCCACCCUCCUUUCUCCUCCCUCCUCUCUCCUCCUUCCUCCCUCGUUUGUCCUCCCUCCUCCUCCUCCCUUCUCUUGCCACUCACUGUUCUUGAGCCCAGCAGACAGAGGUGCUGAUAACAGAAUGAGGCUGGAAUAGCACUGUAGGUGCAGCUACCAGCUGGGCCAAUCAAAGUGGAAGGAGAGAAAGUGGGCUCACAGUUGGCUUUGGACUCAGACCAACCCUCUGUCCGGCCCAGCCUCCCUCCCUUCUGUUAGGGAAUUGGAACCACAUCACAUCACAGAGUGUGCCCAGUCGAUGUGUGUGGACCAGGUGAGUGCCCAGGUACUGGGGAGAACUGCCACUUGGAGGUUAGUUCAGGAAGCACCCUGGGCUUCCUGGUGCCCACCUUGGACUGUGCUCUGUGGAGGGUGUUUGAUGUGUUGAAAUGCUCUGUCCUUUGAGAUGCUGUGCUCUCCCUCCAGGGAGGAGCAGAGGCUGUGCUGCAGAGGCUGGGGCAUGCCUCUGGAAGAGCUCUUGGGAACAGGAACAUGCUUCUCCCAGCGAGAGCAGGCAUGCCGUCUUGUGAGUGUGGUGCCUGGUAGGAUACUGCAUCUGUUAGUUACUUCUCUGUAGCUGAAGGAGGAGGUCAUCCAGCUCUGCCUGGGGGAGGUGGGGAAGCUGGGCUUUGGGGCAUCUCACCAUAGUUUCAGUUUCACCUGAAACUAUGCACUUUUUAGUCCAUUUCCACUGGGUCAAGCAGAUGAUUUAGGAAUGACCAGGGAGCAGUGUUGGUGGUUUGCCUUUGGAUCUGCAUUGGUUUGGUCUGGUGGGCAUUGUGUUUGUGUAAUAGACCAUUGGCAUAAUUUUUCCUCUUGCAGAAAGCACUAGCUUCCUUGAAAGCAGUUCAGCCAUGCCCAUCUUCCUCUGCCAGAGCUAAGCCCUUCUACUGGGGGAACAUGGAGACACCCGGGCUCCAGUCUUCAUUCCAUUCCUCUUCCUUCCCUUUGCCUUCCACUAUCUCCUCCUGUCCCCCUAGCUCAUCCCAGGGGCAGGGUAGCCUUGGUGCAACCUUCCAUCCAGCCAGCAGUCCCAACCCAGGACCCCUGUGCUGGGACUGAGGCUGGGUUUUUUGUCAGUAGUGUUAAGGAAGGGACAGAAAACUGAACUUUUAGGAGUGUGGCUGCCUAGGAACCUAGAUCUCCAUACCUCUGACCCAGGGGAAGCCAGAAGAACUGAUGCUGGGUCCACGUAGGCUUAGAAGCCUGUUACUUAUUGCCUUGUUACGUGAGCAGCAAUUUGAGGGGCACUGUGGGUUUGGAGGAUGUGAUUCCCACACUGGGACUCAGGGCCUGGGAAAUGCAGUGGUCCCUGGGUUCUGAGUCCUCCUUGGAAGGCCAACCUGCCAGGAAGGAAGAGCCUGAUGGAGGUUUCUGGGGACUUUGGGCCAGCUAGUAACUCCAUGCUCCCUCCCCUCCACCCUUGGCCCCUCAUGCAUAUACCCUUCCUUUUAUCACCCUUCUCUCUGAUUCAUUAACCACAGUCCCUGUCCUGAUAGCUAAAGACACAAUGUCCAGGCUGCUGCCUAGAAUGACAGGAAGCUGGGCUGGCCUUUCAAUUUAUACAUGCAAUGGCCUGGGACUGUCUGGAGGGCAAGACAUUCUCCUUUUUCAAAAGAGCCUUCCCCAGACCCCUCUCUCACCAAGAUGAGCUCUUCCUCACUGCCAGGAUCCCUGAAAUCAGCAUUCCCAGAGGGAAGAAGAUGGCCAUCUGGGCUUGGCUUCCGGCUCCCCCCAUCUGGCUGGAACACACAUCAGUCACGUAAGUAGCUGUGACUCAGCACCCAGCGCUGCCUUGGCAGAACUUCCCACUUUCUGGAUUUGCACACACUGGUAGCACAGCACAAGCCAGCAGGGUUAGGCAUCUGGGGGCCAGGGUCUGUCUGUUCAGUGGCUUUGCUUACGGAUUUCAUAAACAAGGAUUCCCUCACCUUCCCAUUUUCCUCCCAUGUUAUUUUUUAGGUAUCAUGCUAGGCUUUAAAGACAAAGCGUCAUUUAUAGAAUGAAGUAGAAGCUAUCUUUGCAAUCUCCAAACUGUUUUAACCAACAGCUAUAGAUUACAUUUAACCCUUUGAUGUGUUUGGCCUGCACUAGUUUUUGUUUUUGUUUUGAGACAGGUUUGUACUCUGUAGCCCAGGCUGGAGUGCAGUGGCACGGUAUCAGCCAACCUCUGCUUCCCGGGCUCAAGCAAUUCACAUACCUCAGCCUCCUGAGUAGCUGGGACUACAGGUGCCUGACACCAUGCCUGCUAGAGUAAUUUUAAUGUAUCUGAUUUUACAUGCGUUUACACAAAAUAUGGCCUCUCUAGGACACUGUAUUUCUGCUGCAUGCUGUUGCCGCUUUUGUGUCUCAGGUUUCCUGCCCGAGCCCUCUGAGCAUUUGAAUGACUGUGAGCAGUCUACUUCAGCCUCCUCUCCUUACACAUGAAGACACUGAGGCCCAUUCAGGGCAAGUGGCAGGUCCCUGUUCUCAGAAUUAGGGCCGAGCAGGUAUUAAAACCUGUGUGUUCUCAUUCACUGUGUGCUCAGGGAGAUGAAAACACCCUGGCGUGAGAGGAAGCUUCCAGGUAGAGUGUGGGCACAGAAAUGGACCAGGAUGGAGUAUACCUCCCACACCUUUUCCCUGAAUGGCAGCACUCACAAGACUGACAUGCCCACCCUUCCGAGUGGGCGGUUUUUCUCCCCAGGCAGCCCUGCCAACCCUUUCACUUUCGGCCAGUUUGCUUAGAGUCCUUAGGCUGAGGCAGAUAAAACCCAUCACCCUACUUGGAUGGCAGAGCCCUUAGCAGGCUGGGGUUUUCAUGGGCUGCCUUCUUACAGGUCUAGGUGGCCUUCUGGCAUGGUGCCAGGGAGAGCAAGCCUCUUCCAGCCCUUAUCAAACUAACCGGCUGCUUCCUAGUAGGGAACAGCCACCAGCUUGUUUCAGAGAAGAAUCAUUGCUCAGCUGACUCAGAGGAGAAAACUGGUUCUGUUGGGAAGGCUUAGACCUUUAUCCAGUGGAAUUGGAAAGGCAAAGGAUUUCAGUACUAACAUGACUUUUUCUCCACUUCUUCUUUUGGAGGGUUUAAUUAAAGUCAUGCAUUGUUAAUGGCUUCUCAUCUCUUCUUCCAGAGAGUUAAGAAUUAAAGUUUAGAAUCCAGGAGUGGGGACCCAGAUUCUGGCUUCUGUUAGCUCCCUCAGUGGCAGUGGCCCCCUGAUAUGUGCAGCCCCUCUGCUUGACUCCAGAUGGUCCCUUAUGGGUUGCAGGAGAGACAUUAACUAACCACACUGACGACCAAGUGAGGUAAGUGGCGUCAAGAACUUGAGGCUGGCGAGGACGACUUAACCUUCUAGCAAGCUGGGCUAGACUUGGGGAAGCUUUCCGGAGCUGAAGGGAGGUUGACUGGGGUUCCCUGGAGUGGCGGUGGGUAGAGGCGGGGCCGAGGGGUGGUAGCUAUGGGAGGGUGAGAGAGAGUAUUCCAGAAGAGAUAACAGCUUAAGCAAGGCCUCUCUAUUGUGGAAGGUGGUUUCCGGAUCACCGCAGGACACCUGUGUGAGGGCUCAUAGGGAGGGGUUUGUGGAUACUGGCAAUUAGAAGUUGAUAAGGAAAAGUGUGGCCGAAAUGAAAAGCAGAAAAGAAUCUCAUCGAAUCCCCUCAAUUUACAGGAUUUGGACUCCUAGUAAUGACUGCCCUUAAACACUCACUCCUGACCUUACAGCCCUCGCUGUUUCCUGGUUAACAGGGCCCAGGUGUUGGCUACACGUGUCAUCACCGAGAGCCCUUGUGUGCAGAUCUGCCCCCAGCUCUGCCACCUGUGACUGAGGCUGGUCAGUCCCACGGUGGGCCGCAGAGCCUAGCACUGGUGUCAGAGUCGCUUGUUGCAGGUUCAUCUUCAGCGUCUUUCCCACGCCACAGCCAUGCUGGAGAAAAACGGCAGAGGCGCCAGAGGAGAACAAAGCAAGCUGCCCCAGACCACCUGGCCUUCGCAGAGCCCAGAUCACGCUCCUCUCUCUGCCCAAGUAUAACGUGUUGUCUAGUCAGUAUGAUCCCCCUUCAGUGCAGAAGUAUUGCCUGGGAAUUCCCUGCCCCACCCAGCCUGUUUGGUUCUUAAUGAAGUUCAAGAACAAAAUGAGACGAUACUCAAGUUAUGGAGCAGGCUGCAGUGGGUGCAGGCGCAGGGUCGCAGUCUUUGGAGUUAGAUCUGAGGUCUGCCUUUAUUGGUUGUGUGUCUGCAGACAAGUUAUUUAGCCUCAUUAAGGAUAAGUUUCUUCUGCAAAAAUUGGAAUAAUUCCUGCUCCAUACGACUGCUGUGAGAACGAAAUACCACAACUUUUGAUGUUCAAAUUCUAUUUUUUACUUCUCCUUCUAGUGACACAUACUGUUACUGCCAGGAACCAUAAAAAUUAUAAGCCUGUAUCUAGAGGCCUGAAGAAUUGGUUGGGAACCUAAAAGAUAGUUUCUGUUCUGUCUCUUUUCUCUUGGUUAUGGUAUCAGAGGAAAUACACAUAUUUUUCUUAGCUUCAAACAACCGAAAAAGAUGAUGCAGUAAGGAGAUGGGAAAUCUAAUUUGGAAUAUGGUGCGCAAAUCUUAUUUUCAAGCAGAUUUUGAAAAUAAAAUGCAAUUCUUUUAUGUUAGAGGAUUGUCUCCUUGAUAAAAUUAUGGGGUACCAGUUUUUAAAGUCACAUCAGAGUUUAAAUAAGAUUGCAAAUUGACGGGGUCAUAUUUGAAUGUUCUGAUAGUUACAUAUGGGGUGGGAAGGAGGAAUGCAUGCUCUUCUCAAAUAAGACGCAUGGAAGAGUUGCCCUAGCCAGGUGAGGCUCACCUUUGUGUAGGCUAGAGCUUCAUUCCAUCCACACGCAGAUAGGGUGCUUGUGACCUGAUGAAGUAAGGUAAUAUACCUGGAAACACUUAGUAUACUGUGAAAUACUGUGCAAAUGCAAGGUAGUUCGAAUGUAAAUAUUAAUGCAUUUUCAUAAUAAUUUUGCCAUUUCAUCAUAUAUAUAAUUUGUAGUGACUGGCUGUGAAUUUAAAUAGAAUUAACCUAGAAUUAAUGAGCUUUAUAUUACUCUCAUCUAUUUGAAGCAUCAGCUGUGACGUUCAUGUUACUUUGCACAGCCCUGUGUAACCUCCUCUAUGCCUUUCCCAAGGAGCACUGUGUCAUAUCACAAGUAGAACUGGAAGAAGACAUUUCUCCUCAGGGCAGAGGCUGGGUCUUCUGAUUGAAUCUCUCUUCUUUCUUCAGUGAGAUCCUCUUCUUCUGGAAGCUGGUUUCACAUGGUGGCUUAGAUUUUUCCAUCUUUGUAUCUAGCACCAUUUGAAAUCAGUGUUUUAGGAGUAAGAAUUGCAGCACAGCCAAGGGUGGACUGCAGAGGAACUGCUGCUCAUGGGACUGGCUCCUCCUCUCCUGCCACUUGAGUCUGUUCAAGAAGUCCAGGGAAGAACUUGAAGAGCAAAAUAUACUCUUGAGUUUGUUGGGUUUUGGGAGGGGCGACAGUAGGGGAGGGGGUUGUGUUUAAAAUAAACACAGUGGUUUGCUCAGGGGCAGAGGUUGUGAUGCUAUUUAUUUUGACUCCUAGCAGCUGUCACCAGCACGAAUGUGUUGGUAGGGCCUUUGGGUGUGUUGAUUGUCAUAUUCCGUUGGGUAACAAUGUAUCGAGUAUUGUCAUGGGGCAAAGGAGAGGGCGGUACACCUGGAGGACCAUUUCGUCCACAUCGGCACUGUCAGCCCACUCAUAGAGGAUGCCCUGGAGUAUUCAGCAUCCAUUGCAGGGCACCCGAAAUCAGACUUGCCACCUGUACUGUCGAGGUGCAGACCCUGGGAGCACCACUGGCCCAUCUCUUACACAGGCUGACCGAUUUCUCCUGGUGUUCAGAGUCUGUUUUUGUCUAGCACCAUUUGAAAUCGGUUAUGAUGUAGGGGGAAAAGCAGCAGCCUCGAAGCCUCAUGCCAAGUCUGGCCAGCAGCAGCCUGUGGUUUCCUGGAAGAUGGAUGGGCAGAGAAUGGGGAAGGAAGAUCACGCUUUUCCCUACUAAUUUCUUUAACUGCAUGUAUGAUACAUUAUUGCAGAGGUAAGAGAUAGUUUAAUGGAUUUUUAAAAACAAAUUACUGUAAUUUAUCUGAUGUUCUCAGUUGCAUUUUGCCGAAAUGUAGUACUGCUAUAAAUUCUAUAAAUUGGUUGCUGUUAAAUUACCUUUCUAUUGAGAAGUCUGUUCAUGCAUCCUGACCUUAAUAAAUACUAUGUUCAGUUUAUCA